rnacentral:rRNA from 1 species
GACGAACGCUGGCGGAGUGAUUAACACAUGCAAGUCGAACGGAAAGGCCCUGCUUUUGUGGGGUGCUCGAGUGGCGAACGGGUGAGUAACACGUGAGUAACCUGCCCUUGACUUUGGGAUAACUUCAGGAAACUGGGGCUAAUACCGGAUAGGAGCUCCUGCUGCAUGGUGGGGGUUGGAAAGUUUCGGCGGUUGGGGAUGGACUCGCGGCUUAUCAGCUUGUUGGUGGGGUAGUGGCUUACCAAGGCUUUGACGGGUAGCCGGCCUGAGAGGGUGACCGGCCACAUUGGGACUGAGAUACGGCCCAGACUCCUACGGGAGGCAGCAGUGGGGAAUAUUGCACAAUGGGCGGAAGCCUGAUGCAGCAACGCCGCGUGCGGGAUGACGGCCUUCGGGUUGCAAACCGCUUUCGCCUGUGACGAAGCGUGAGUGACGGUAAUGGGUAAAGAAGCACCGGCUAACUACGUG